rnacentral:misc_RNA from 1 species
GAUGAAGAACGUAGCGAACUGCGAUAAGUAAUGUGAAUUGCAGAAUUCAGUGAAUCAUCGAGUCUUUGAACGCACGUUGCGCCCCCUGGCAUUCCGGGGGGCAUGCCUGUCCGAGCGUCAUUGCUGCCCUUCAAGCCCGGCUUGUGUGUUGGGUCGUCGUCCCCCCCGGGGGACGGGCCCGAAAGGCAGCGGCGGCACCGCGUCCGGUCCUCGAGCGUAUGGGGCUUUGUCACCCGCUCGAUUAGGGCCGGCCGGGCGCCAGCCGGCGUCUCCAACCUUCUAUUUUACCAGGUUGACCUCGGAUCAGGUAGGGAUACCCGCUGAACUUAAGCAUAUCAAUAAGCGGAGGA